rnacentral:rRNA from 1 species
GGGGAAUAUUGGACAAUGGGGGAAACCCUGAUCCAGCAAUGCCGCGUGAGUGAAGAAGGCCUUAGGGUUGUAAAGCUCUUUCGCCAGCGAAGAUAAUGACGGUAGCGGGAGAAGAAGCCCCGGCUAACUCCGUGCCAGCAGCCGCGGUAAUACGGAGGGUGCGAGCGUUAUCCGGAUUUACUGGGUUUAAAGGGUGCGUAGGUGGGCUUAUAAGUCAGUGGUGAAAUCUCCGAGCUUAACUUGGAAACUGCCGUUGAUACUAUAGGUCUUGAAUUAUCUGGAGGUAAGCGGAAUAUGUCAUGUAGCGGUGAAAUGCUUAGAUAUGACAUAGAACACCAAUUGCGAAGGCAGCUUACUACAUAUAAAUUGACGCUGAGGCACGAAAGCGUGGGGAUCAAACA